rnacentral:rRNA from 1 species
AACGUAGGACACAAGCGUUAUCCGGAGUUACUGGGCGUAAAGAGCGCGCAGGCGGUCGUUCAAGUCGCGUGUGAAAGCCCCCGGCUCAACUGGGGAGGGUCACGCGAUACUGAUCGACUGGAAGGCAGGAGAGGGUAGUGGAAUUCCCGGUGUAGUGGUGAAAUGCGUAGAUAUCGGGAGGAACACCAGUGGCGAAGGCGACUACCUGGCCUGUUCUUGACGCUGAGGCGCGAAAGCUAGGGGAGCAAACGGG